rnacentral:rRNA from 1 species
CCCGGUGGGUAUAGCGGAGGGGCCACACCCGUUCCCAUCUCGAACACGGAAGUUAAGACCUCCAGCGCCGAUGGUACUGCAGGAAACUGUGGGAGAGUAGGACGCUGCCGGGA